rnacentral:rRNA from 1 species
UACAGAGGGUGCGAGCGUUGUCCGGAAUCACUGGGCGUAAAGGGCGCGUAGGCGGCCAGGUAGGUCUGCUGUGAAAACUCGAGGCUCAACCUCGAGACGUCGGCGGAAACCAUCUGGCUAGAGUCCGGAAGAGGAGAGUGGAAUUCCUGGUGUAGCGGUGAAAUGCGCAGAUAUCAGGAAGAACACCCGUGGCGAAGGCGGCUCUCUAGUACGGUACUGACGCUGAGACGCGAAAGCGUGGGGAGCGAACAGG